rnacentral:rRNA from 1 species
GAUGAACGCUGGCGGCGUGCCUAAUACAUGCAAGUCGAGCGAACGGACGAGAAGCUUGCUUCUCUGAUGUUAGCGGCGGACGGGUGAGUAACACGUGGAUAACCUACCUAUAAGACUGGGAUAACUUCGGGAAACCGGAGCUAAUACCGGAUAAUAUUUUGAACCGCAUGGUUCAAAAGUGAAAGACGGUCUUGCUGUCACUUAUAGAUGGAUCCGCGCUGCAUUAGCUAGUUGGUAAGGUAACGGCUUACCAAGGCAACGAUGCAUAGCCGACCUGAGAGGGUGAUCGGCCACACUGAAACUGAGACACGCUCCAGACUCCUACGAGAGGCAGCAGUAGGGAAUCUUCCGCAAUGGGCGAAAGCCUGACAGAGCAACGCCGCGUGAGAGAUGAAGGUCUUCGGAUCGUAAAACUCUGUUAUUAGGGAAGAACAUAUGUGUAAGUAACUGUGCACAUCUAGACGGUACCUAAACAGAAAGCCACGGCUAACUACG